rnacentral:rRNA from 1 species
UGGGGAAUAUUGCGCAAUGGGGGAACCCUAACGCAGCAACGCCGCGUGAAGGAUGAAGGUUUUCGGAUUGUAAACUUCUUUGAUGAGGGGACGAAAGAAAUGACGGUACCUCAAAAACAAGCCACGGCUAACUACGUGCCAGCAGCCGCGGUAAUACGUAGGUGGCGAGCGUUGUCCGGAAAUUACUGGGUGUAAAGGGCGUGUAGGCGGGGAUGUAAGUCAGAUGUGAAAUACCGUGGCUUAACUACGGGCUGCAUCUGAAACUAUGUUUCUUGAGUGUCGGAGAGGAAAGUGGAAUUCCCAGUGUAGCGGUGAAAUGCGUAGAUAUUGGGAGGAACACCAGUGGCGAAGGCGACUUUCUGGACGAUAACUGACGCUGAGGCGCGAAAGCGUGGGAGCAAACAGGAUUAGAUACCCUGGUAGUCCACGCUGUAAACGAUGGAUACUAGG